ACAGACGGGGUAUAAGAGAAUUUGGCUCCGCCCACAGGGGUAUAAGGGAUUUGUCCAACGGCAAACAACAAAUGAGAUUAAAGAAUUUUACAUGAAGGCGAGAUAAAAUAUCCUAGACUGCUGUGAUAGCCAACAAUAAUGAUUUAUUUACGAAGGUUAAUAUUAAUUGUAUAAUAGAUGGCAGCACUAUUGGAUGCUAUCAUCUAUAUGACAACCACUAUUUGAUUUUGUCGAUUCUUUUUCAUCUUUAAUAUAACAAAAACUUGCCAACUUCGCCAGCGAUUAAAUUUGCUAGGACUCUCUUAUGUCAGUUUCCUCCGACUCCUCUGAAUUGUACACGUCACCAUACACCUGACAUCUUGCUUCCUCUUUCGCUGGCACCAAUAAAGCUGGUUUUAACUAACAGUGGCUGGUACGUGGGAAUGUAGUUUAGAUGGUUACAGGCACUUCUUAAAGGUAGUCAUAGUAAGCCUACAGCAAAACGUGUAGUGAAAUAAAAGGGUUUUGUACAUCCCUCGAUACACAUUGCUUCCUCUUUGUCUGGCAUCAAUAAAGCUGGUCUGAACUAACAGUGGCCGAUACAUGGGAAUAUGGUUUAGAUGGUCCUGACAUGAAUGGUGACAACAGGAAAGCACAUCCCAUGGUUAGAGAGACAAGGACUGGGAUGUGGAGGUAUGAGCAUGAGCAGUUAGAUCAGUAAAAUAAUUUGGAUGGAAUCAAUAGGAGGCAAGAGAAAGGCGUGUAUCACCGGGAGGCUACGGGGUGGUGGUGGGACUUACAUUCAUAUAAAGUAGAACCUGUGUUAAUGACAAAGGGAGAUUUAGCAUGUGACUCUUUAACACAGGUGGCCGCUUAUUACAGGUCAGUUUAUCCAAUAAUAGAUUUGGGAGAAUACAAUGGCCACUUAAAACAGGUGGCUGCAUAAUACAGGUAGUAGAUGGAACAGGUUUCACUGUAAUAAACAUGUAUUUGCUUAAUAUUAUAGCAUGUGAAUUUAUAGGUGAUCCAAAUUGUAUGACAAUAUAAUUAUGUUUAAAUCCCAUUGGACUAAAUUUAAAGGUUGUAAUGAAGAUAAGAGGGCUUUUUUUUAUAUCAAAAACAUUAAUUAACAAAGAUUUCAAAAUUCAACAAUUCAUGUAACCAGGUAAGGUAACAAAUAUGUUUGACAAAGAUAACUAAUCUACAUUCCAAAAAUAUGCGAAACUAAACCUUCCAGUGGUAUCUGCUACUUACGCCGUGGAUUCUGCCAGUGAUACUGAAUACCAUGUGAAGGUAAACAAUGAAGUUAAACAAAAGAGCUUCGAAUAUGGACUUGGCAAAAAUAAUCUGGAUAUAUCACACUUGAAAGAAGGAUAUUAACAUAAGGAAAAGCCCAGUGUUGAGAAGAUGUCUUCCAGUGAGGGUGAAGAUGAUUAUUUCAAGGUUGAAGUACCAGAUUGUUAGCAAAUGUUUGACAUCCAAUAGCCGAUAAUGAAUAAAUCAAUGUGAGCUAGUGGUAUUGUUAAACAAAAUAAACUUAUUAUUGUUUGGA